GACGAACGCUGGCGGCGUGCUUAACACAUGCAAGUGGAGCGACGAACCGGGGCUUGCCCCGGGGCAGAGCCGCGAACGGGUGAGUAACACGUGGGUAACCCACCUCAAUGACCGGGACAACCCGAGGAAACUCGGGCUAAUACCGGAUGUGAUCGCAUUCCUCAAGGAGUGUGAUGAAAGAUAGCUUCGGCCUUCGCAUUGAGACGGGCCCGCGGUGCAUUAGCUUGUUGGUGGGGUAACGGCCUACCAAGGCUGCGAUGCAUAGCUGGUCUGAGAGGACGAUCAGCCACACUGGGACUGAGACACGGCCCAGACUCCUACGGGAGGCAGCAGUGGGGAAUCUUGCACAAUGCGCGAAAGCGUGAUGCAGCAACGCCGCGUGGGGGAAGACGGCCUUCGGGUUGUAAACCCCUUUCAGUUGGGACGAAGCUUCGUUGAUUAAGAGUUGACUGGAGUGACGGUACCUUCAGAAGAAGCCCCGGCUAACUACGUGCCAGCAGCCGCCGUAACAC
rnacentral:rRNA from 1 species